AAGAAAAUAAAUAAAUAAUGGAUUUCACGCGCUAGCCAGCCAAUCAGAAUGUGACAACCAUUUGGUUUGAAUUAAAAAUACGCACCAACGGUCGUCUUCAACCUCGAAUCAUCCCAAAAUCAAACCUUAAAAACACAUGUUUUAGUUAGAUUUUUCCAUGGAAUCAUCUUCCCCGAUAAAAAACAAACUAACCUCCACACUCA
rnacentral:lncRNA from 1 species